CCUACGGGAGGCAGCAGUGGGGAAUAUUGGGCAAUGGGCGAAAGCCUGACCCAGCGACGCCGCGUGAGGGACGAAGGCCUUCGGGUUGUAAACCUCUUUCAGCAGGGAAGAAGCGAAAGUGACGGUACCUGCAGAAGAAGCACCGGCUAACUACGUGCCAGCAGCCGCGGUAAUACGUAGGGUGCAAGCGUUGUCCGGAAUUAUUGGGCGUAAAGAGCUCGUAGGUGGUUUGCCACGUCGGAUGUGAAAACCUGAGGCUUAACCUCAGGCCUGCAUUCGAUACGGGCAGACUAGAGUGUGGUAGGGGAGACUGGAAUUCCUGGUGUAGCGGUGAAAUGCGCAGAUAUCAGGAGGAACACCGGUGGCGAAGGCGGGUCUCUGGGCCAUAACUGACACUGAGGAGCGAAAGCGUGGGGAGCAAACAGGAUUAGAUACCCUGGUAGUCCACGCCGUAAACGGUGGGCACUAGAUGUGGGGACCUUCCACGGUCUCUGCGUCGCNGCUACGCAUAGUGCCCGCCCGUCGGGUAGGUACGGCCGGCCGACGACGUAAACCGUACGAACGUAGUAAGUUAGUACGGUUCGUUGUAGACGUUGCGACGGACGACGACGAGGGAGGAGG
rnacentral:rRNA from 1 species